UGGGGCCGCUGUCGCGUCGCGUGCGUCUGCCAUGCCCAGGCUGCUCGCUCGCUUCGCCCACUCGCUGUCAUCCCCUUUCCGCACUGCUGCUCGCUCUCUUCGUCGUCUCGCUUCGUCCCGUUCGAACGCCUGCACCAUUGCCAUCCGUUCCUCCAUGGGUGCUGUUGGUUGAGUUUGCUUGGUUUUCACGUUGGCUCCUUCGUAGGAGCGUGGGUCAUUCCGUCCUUGCUGUCCAGGUUGUUCCAUCUUUUACUGAUCUCGUGUAGAAUCUCCGUUUAGCUCAUUACCGCGUCUCCAUUCUGCUCGUCGGGCCUUGUCAAGGUUUGCUGCUGUGUGAUCUCUGCCUGUCUUGCUGCUCUACUUUCUGUAUGUACUUUCAUGUUCUAUAGCCUCCUAAUUGUUUCAAUGUAUGUUCCAGACAUGGACGGGUGUCAUCUACUUUAUUAUAUAUUUCGUUCUUACAUGUGAGCAGGAUGUGUGCAUUUGUUUCGGUUGUUAUUCCUAUUUUGGAGGUUGUGGUGGCCGAAUGCGCUUUGCCACCCCUUUUGUACCUGUGUGAGGUCGCAGAAGAUGGCUAGCUCUGUCCUCGCUGAGGUAGAGCUUGAGCUUUCCCGGGGAUGGUUCUGGUCGAGUGCCUCGGCGGGAGUUUUUUGGGGCUCGGCUUGCUGUGGGUUCAUGAAUGCUUAUGAACAAGUUGAUUUACAAGCCAUAUGGUUUUUUACCAGGUCUAUAUGGAUUCGUCGUCCAUGACUAUAACUAAGGCUGUAUGAUGGCCUAUAGGAGAUCUGCACGUUGAUCCAUAGUUAUUGCGGUCUCUGCUGUUCGACACGUUAUGCACCUGGAGAGAGAGAGAGUUACUUCAUUUGUGGUCUGCACCUACCAAUAUGCCCAUUGUUUUGUUUGCUGUCUCAAUUGUCGCUGAACAAACAAAAGCAAUUGCUGGUACUAACCUUUAGUUUGUGAAUAUACACAAAUUUCCUUUAAAUUGUUUGUAUCAUUGUGUUUAUAUUCUCUUGAAUUCUCUUAGCAUUGAUCUUGAUGGUUUCGGUGAAUGGUCUAAGUAUUGGGGGUUUAAUUUCCUGGCAAGGAAGUUUAUGCUUGCAAAAGCUAUCUACAUCCGUUCAUUCAGCAACUUUUAUCUUCAUUGACAAACUAGAAGUAACUUCCAUUAUGAGCUAUUUGGCAUUGCUAUUUUCGUUUGAACAGUUCCGUCGCAAAUUUCUCUCAUCUAUUGUUGAUUAUUAGAUAAAUCCAUAUGUUUUGCUUCCUAUUCCUGUUUUCAGCAACCAUUGCAGACUUUGUAUAGAAUAUCUUGUCACCUGAAAGGUGUAGGAUGAGAGGAUUGUUUUAUUUGCAAACAAGAUCAAGGACUGGGUCAACGUGGUCGUCGCGCACGAACCAGUGUGGGCCAUUGACACCGGUAAAGUUGCAUCACCGGCUCAAGCACAUGAAGUAAGUUCCUCCGUUCAGGUGUAUUGGUGUUUCUGAAGUAGCAGGCACAAUUCAUCUCGUGACCGCUGGCCGUUGUCUUUCCUUUUCCUGAAAUUUAUGACCAAGUGAUUAAAGCCUGAAACUAAAGCUUGGUCUUUCUCAAAAUUUACCAUGGUGUAAUUUUAUGCUACAGUCAAGCCUUGAAAAUAAACGUGUUAUA